AGCUACAUUCCUUCCAAAUGGGAAGAAUUUACCAUACUUUGAAGGCUUUCUUACAUUUAUCGAGAAGAGCAAAUUUAGAAAUCAUCCAGAACUGCUACCGUACAAGCGGCGCCCCUUGGUUUUUAUGUCCCCACUAGAAAGAGCUGCUGCUUUGGAUAAUCUUUUGAAGAUUUAUUUCCGGCUCAAUGGUACUCAGCAGAAGGCUUUCCGGUCAACAUUGGCCAGCUUCGAUUGCCCCAAGUGGCCUGAGGCAAAAAGUUAUUGCAUUUUUGAACCUCUGGUUACUUAUCAAAUGGACAAGCGUGGCUCCGAUACAUACCUAAAAGAGCACUUUUAUUGUUUACUCAUUUUGCGAAACCAUAAUGAGCACGGCAAAGUGGUACUAAAUGUCUAAUCUCUUUAUUAUAACUGUUUCCCUUUUAUUGUUUGCUGUUGUUCUAAAGAUUAGUUUAAAUUACAGUUGCCAUGGGAAUUGCUUGAUUAUGCCUCAGUUGCGUGCUUCGGAGAUUUUGUUCAGGAUUCUUUCUUGGGUCUUAUGCUAAAGGGCUAUGAAGUUCAUAAAGCCCUUGCUUAAAGGCAUUUGGCAGGCAGAAGGUGGAGCCUGAGGUCAAGGAGGAGACUCCGGGUGUGAUGCCAGAAGUACCGGCGGCAACUGAGUCUCAGUGAAGGCGUCCUGAGCUCGUGAUCGUCUUCCAUGAAUCUGAAGCUUCAUUCACUGAGAGUUGUGAGGUCUUAUCAGCAUAGAGUUAUCUUUUGGUUUUGUCCUUGUCUUUGCUUAGUUGGGACAUGGUUUGCCUGAGCGAUUUCAACUUGUAAGACACCAAGACCCGUUCCAGUUAUGGAUCUUAAUCUGGUUGGAACCGCCGUCAUUUGCGGUGCAUUUUGGUGAUAUUCGUUUUGCCAUCACCUAUGCUUCAUUCUGUCGAAUGGAAUGGAAGAUCAUUUGAUCA